UAGUCCACGCCGUAAACGAUGAAUGCCAGUCGUCGGGUAGCAUGCUAUUCGGUGACGCAGCUAACGCAUUAAGCAUUCCGCCUGGGGAGUACGGUCGCAAGAUUAAAACUCAAAGGAAUUGACGGGGGACCCGCACAAGCGGUGGAACAUGUGGUUUAAUUCGAUGCAACGCGAAGAACCUUACCUGGGCUUGACAUCUACGGAACCUUGGCGAAAGUUGAGGGUGCUGUUUUGCAGAGCCGUAAGACAGGUGGUGCACGGUUGUCGUCAGCUCGUGUCGUGAGAUGUUGGGUUAAGUCCCGCAACGAGCGCAACCCCUUUCGCUAGUUGCCAGCAUUAAGUUGGGGACUCUAGCGAUACUGCCGGCGUAAGCCGAGAGGAAGGUGGGGAUGACGUCAAAUCAUCAUGGGCCUUUAUGCCUAGGGGCGACACACGUGCUACAAUGGACAGGACAAUGGGUUGCC
rnacentral:rRNA from 1 species